rnacentral:tRNA from 1 species
UCCUCGGUAGUAUAGUGGUGAGUAUCCCCGCCUGUUAAGCGGGAGACCGGGGUUCAAUUCCCCGCCGGGGAG